rnacentral:misc_RNA from 1 species
GAAAUGCGAUAAGUAAUGUGAAUUGCAGAAUUCAGUGAAUCAUCGAAUCUUUGAACGCACCUUGCGCUCCUUGGUAUUCCUUGGAGCAUGCCUGUUUGAGUAUCAUGAAAUCUUCAAAGUAAAUCUUUUGUUAACUCAAUUGGUUUCUACUUUGGUAUUCGAGGUCUUUGCAGCUUCACACCUGCUCCUCUUUGUUCAUUAGCUGGAUCUCAGUGUUAUGCUUGGUUCCACUCGGCGUGAUAAGUUAUCUAUCGCUGAGGACACUGUAAAAGGUGGCCAAGGUAAAUGCAGAUGAACCGCUUCUAAUAGUCCAUUGACUUGGACAAUACUUUUAUGAUCUGAUCUCAAAUCAGGUAGGACUACCCGCUGAACUUAAGC